rnacentral:rRNA from 1 species
GAUGAGCGCUGGCGGCGUGCCUAAUACAUGCAAGUCGAGCGAAUGGAUUAAGAGCUUGCUCUUAUGAAGUUAGCGGCGGACGGGUGAGUAACACGUGGGUAACCUGCCCAUAAGACUGGGAUAACUCCGGGAAACCGGGGCUAAUACCGGAUAAUAUUUUGAACUGCAUGGUUCAAAAUUGAAAGGCGGCUUCGGCUGUCACUUAUGGAUGGACCCGCGUCGCAUUAGCUAGUUGGUGAGGUAACGGCUCACCAAGGCAACGAUGCGUAGCCGACCUGAGAGGGUGAUCGGCCACGCUGGGACUGAGACACGGCCCAGACUCCUACGGGAGGCAGCAGUAGGGAAUCUUCCGCAAUGGACGAAAGUCUGACGGAGCAACGCCGCGUGAGUGAUGAAGGCUUUCGGGUCGUAAAACUCUGUUGUUAGGGAAGAACAAGUGCUAGUUGAAUAAGCUGGCACCUUGACGGUACCUAACCAGAAAGCCACGGCUAACUACGUGCCAGCAGCCGCUGUAA